AGUGAACGCUGGCGGUAGGCCUAACACAUGCAAGUCGAACGGCAGCACAGUAAGAGCUUGCUCUUACGGGUGGCGAGUGGCGGACGGGUGAGGAAUACAUCGGAAUCUACUUUUUCGUGGGGGAUAACGUAGGGAAACUUACGCUAAUACCGCAUACGACCUACGGGUGAAAGCAGGGGAUCUUCGGACCUUGCGCGAUUGAAUGAGCCGAUGUCGGAUUAGCUAGUUGGCGGGGUAAAGGCCCACCAAGGCGACGAUCCGUAGCUGGUCUGAGAGGAUGAUCAGCCACACUGGAACUGAGACACGGUCCAGACUCCUACGAGAGGCAGCAGUGGGGAAUAUUGGACAAUGGGCGCAAGCCUUAUCCAGCCAUACCGCGUGGGUGAAGAAGGCCUUCGGGUUGUAAAGCCCUUUUGUUGGGAAAGAAAAGCAGCAGGUUAAUACCCCGCUGUUCUGACGGUACCCAAAGAAUAAGCACCGGCUAACUUCGUG
rnacentral:rRNA from 1 species